rnacentral:rRNA from 1 species
AGUAGGGAAUCUUCCACAAUGGACGCAAGUCUGAUGGAGCAACGCCGCGUGAGUGAAGAAGGUUUUCGGACCGUAAAGCUCUGUUGUUGGUGAAGAAGGAUAGAGGUAGUAACUGGCCUUUAUUUGACGGUAAUCAACCAGAAAGUCACGGCUAACUACGUGCCAGCAGCCGCGGUAAUACGUAGGUGGCAAGCGUUGUCCGGAUUUAUUGGGCGUAAAGCGAGCGCAGGCGGAAGAAUAAGUCUGAUGUGAAAGCCCUCGGCUUAACCGAGGAAUUGCAUCGGAAACUGUUUUUCUUGAGUGCAGAAGAGGAGAGUAGAACUCCAUGUGUAGCGGUGGAAUGCGUAGAUAUAUGGAAGAAUACCAGUGGCGAAGGCGGCUCUCUGGUCUGCAACUGACGCUGAGGCUCGAAAGCAUGGGUAGCGAA